rnacentral:sRNA from 13 species
AAAUUAACUCUGAAAUAAGUCUGCUAUUACAUGAUAAAAUUAAUGACGAUCGCCUGAUUCGUCAAACCCGUUUUAAGUUUGUCAGUUGUUCUCCUACCUAUUUUUAUUGUUUUGUUGGUUUUGUCCAAAGUUUGAAGUCAAGUGCCGGUAUCAAAGUCCAAAUAUUCAGAUGACUCUCAAAAUCUCAAGUCCGUGCGAUCAACCUAAACUGGUUUGCUAAUUAAUUUGUGGCACAGAUAUGUCUAGCUGAUUAACAAUUAAAGUGACAUUCGGGUGAUUUGCUGAUGUAUGUACAUUUAUGCAUGAGUUUUGAGCGGAACCGUUUAAGUCGGCUAACUGCCCGAAUUAUUUAAUUAUGGUAAUAGAGGCGCAGUUGCCAAAGUUGAUGCCUACGUGCCAGAACUUUGCCUCAUAUAUUUUAUCAAUAUUUACUGCUGACAGCAUCGAUAAUUCAUGACCUACUCAAACUAUAUCCCGGUGCCUGGGUCACCACCCCCUCGACUUUCGGAGACGAAGUUACCGGAGCAAACUCGUAAAUAGUUACGCACGCCAGGGAAAACAAAUGUCAGGACGAUUAUUGCGGCCCAUCGUCGCCUGCCAGGGCCAUAACAAAACUCCUAUCGGAGACCUUCCAACGAUUUAUAGACAAUAAUAACUGCAAACACGAAGCGGUGGCUGGCUCCUCAA